rnacentral:lncRNA from 1 species
GCAUUUAUCACGAUGAAAAUACAGUUAUAUAGAACUUUAAAUAUUACUACUUUUUGUCGCAAAAUUGUGACUUUUUUUUUAAUAAGAUAAUGAUAUUCUCAUAUUUUGUUUUUGAAGUGGAAAUUUUAGUUUAAUUAUAACUAUUAACAAAAAAAACUAAAUAGAUAAAGUGUUGCAUCUGAUUAUUUUAUUUCUACGUGGCUCAAUCAUGAUAGUUUCUAAAUAGUAGACUUCUCAAAUCGCAC